CAUUUCUUCCCUUGUUUCUUUUCUUUUAUCCUUCCUCUACAUGAAGUUCUUUCCUUUUCCUUCCCCAUAGCUGAAAUUGAGGUAGAUUGGUGAGUUGAUUCAAGAGUUCUAAACAAAGGAAAUUUAGGUGUGAGAACUGAUGCCUUGGAGUGGGGAAAAUCCAGCAAAUAUCAGGAACUAUAUACCUGAAUUGGUAGCAAAUUAGCAUCCCAAAAUUUUAAGAUAAGUGAUCAGCUUUACGAUUGUGUUCCACAU